AAAACACAAAACACAUUCCUAUCAACUCUAUUUCCAUUCAUCUUCUCUCCAUCAAAGAAUUUAAAAGACAAUCAAAGCUUCUACCUAUCACUUCUUGUUUCCAUAUUCUUUUGUUGAAAGGUAUGGCUAACCGCAGACAAAACAGAAAUUCAUCAGUGCAAGAAGAUACAAAUUUUCCAACAGAAACAUCAACACAGGUAUAAAGUUACACCUUUGUCUAAGUUUUAGUUAUUAUUUAAGUACAAUAGUUUUUUUUUUAAAAUUCAAACUUGUAGAUCGAAGAAACUUACAAAUGGACUUAUAGUCGAGAAAGAAUAAUUAUUGAUUUGUACGAUAAAGCAAUUGCCAUGAAUGGUUACCGCUUCAAAGAUCCUACACCCCUUGGAAGACAGUUUUUGAUCCGAAAGAUAUAAGUAAUCGUUGUCAUGCAUCACUACGUUCUGUCAUUGAGAGGACAUUUGGAGUUUGGAAGAAGAAAUGGAGGAUCCUUUGUGAGUUUCCU